ensembl:lncRNA
CUGGAAACAACAGCCACACAAUUACUGGCUGUUUUUAUUAAUAAUAAUUACUGGCUGCUUUUAUUAUUGAUACCCCAGGUUCAGGAUUACGUUCAUUUUCACUACAAUAUUUAAGUAGUGUCAUUUACCACUGCCAAAGUUAGGAAACACUGCCAAUGCAGAAGCUCAAGGAGGAUGGCCCUGACUCGGGUGACCCUGAGCCCAAAAUACCAGGAGCACAUUAAAAUGUAUUAGCGAUAAGUGCAAGAACAAAAUGAGAAUUUCCACUAGGAGCUGAGGGACUUCUAAUUGAAAAACAAAGCGGGAGCCCUGUGAUGCUCCAGUCCUUGAACGGGGGGUUGCACAGACAAAACUAAAAGUGAAGCCACGCAUUAUUUCUGGAUGUAAAUAAAUUUCCAGCACUUCUGAUGGGAUUCGUAACUGAAGCUGACGCGCUGAUAUUUCUGCUAACGUACUGCACACGGCAGAAGUUAACGACAAUCACAUCUUCAGUCUUUACUGUACUCAAAGUCUUCCAGCAUCCCUUCCUCGCAUCUUCAUCUGAUAGAUCAGCAGAGCUUCGUUCUCCCCCAAACGGAAUUAUUCUCAAACAUGCAGCAGAGGGGCACACCAAAGAAAGAGACUAAGACCAAAAGGUGAAUGACCCGCUAUGCUACAGGAGAAAGAGAAUUAAAAGGCUGCUAAUGCGAGAGCGCUAGGAGUUGCAUUCUUCAAGGAAGGCUCCCAACACGCAGUGCUUUGUUGCUAGAGAUACGUGCACAAGAAGCAGGAGAGCCCCGGGCUUUGCAAGUCCAGGUGCUACGCAGAGUUAGAACUUAAUAGCACAGCUACCUUCCCAAGGGCUUUGCAGCCCCGGGGCCUGAGCUCAGAACAGCAACUGUUUCAUUUCAAGAACCCCACGCUGUAAGAAACUGAAUUCAACUCCUGUAACUCAAAAGGCGCUUCACUCGUCAUCCCAACACAGAUCUGAAGCGGCAGAAGGACAAAUAGCGUCACCUUCCUCACUCGUCCAAUAGAAUGCUCACAGCUGCACCGGGGCAGCGCCCGCUGCCUCCUAUCCCAGGGCGGCCGUUGGGAGGUGAGGGACGCGCAUAACUCGGAUACCCGCGGUGCAGCGCGCAGCCCCGGGGCCGUGCGGGGCCUUCCGGAGCGCACGGAGAGCAGCGCUGCC